CUCGCCGAGGGGCGCUGCGACCGUGUACGGCCCGCCACGGGUCACGGCCAGGCUCGGCGCGGUGCCCCGAGAACGGCGCCCGUAAUCG
rnacentral:ncRNA from 2 species